ACAAGGUUUCCGUAGGUGAACCUGCGGAAGGAUCAUUAACGAGUUUAUUGAACGGGUUGUAGCUGGUCUCUAUUCGAGGCAUGUGCACGCYCGGCUCAUCCACUCUCUCAACCUCUGUGCACUUAUUGUAGGUCGGUCGGAAAGCAUGAUGUGUUUUUAGCGAUGGGUGUAAAAAGCCCUUCGUUAUAUAACACUCAAGCUGGAAAAGCCUUCCUAUGUUUUAUUACAAACGAUUUAGUUAAAGAAUGUAACUUUGCGUAUAACGCAUUUAUAUACAACUUUCAGCAACGGAUCUCUUGGCUCUCGCAUCGAUGAAGAACGCAGCGAAAUGCGAUAAGUAAUGUGAAUUGCAGAAUUCAGUGAAUCAUCGAAUCUUUGAACGCACCUUGCGCUCCCUGGUAUUCCGGGGAGCAUGCCUGUUUGAGUGUCAUGGUAUUCUCAACCUUCAUAACUUUUUGUUAUCGAAGGCUUGGACUUGGAGGCUUGUGCUGGCUCUCGUUAGUCGGCUCCUCUUAAAUGCAUUAGCGUGAGUGUUACAGAUCGCUUCGGUGUGAUAAUUAUCUGCGCCGUAGUGUUGAAGUAAAACUAAGCUUGCGCUUCUAAUCGUCCUUCACUGGACAAUAACCUUGACAUCU
rnacentral:misc_RNA from 1 species